CUGGAACUCACUCUUUAGACCACGCUGG
rnacentral:misc_RNA from 1 species